UCGCACGGGACCUGCGGGAGGACCUAUCGGCUCUGCUUCGGGAAAAAUAGCAUCCAGACUCUCGGGUCCGUUUCUCUCAGGCUCGAUAGUGAUCUCAACCCUGGCAGAAGGAGUCUUUUCCUGAGUCAGAUGCCAUCUGAUUGGCUUCAUAAACUGUAUAACGCCCCAAUCAGGAGUCCGGAAGGCUUGUUCUAAACAGGACGAGUUCAGAUGACGAGGAACUGUUGUAGUCUCCAUUCUUAGGCUUCGCUUUGUUUCAUUGGUACUUUAUUUUUUACACACAGACUCACUAUGAUUCCAGGCUAAACACACACUCGAGAUCCUCUAACCUCAGCCUUGCAAACGCGGGAUGAUGGUUCUGUUCCUUCACUCAGCUCUCCUCCUUGCUUCUGUCACAGCAAAUGAGCACCACGGUGGGGCAGAGCCACGAGAUCAGGCUCUCCAAGUUGCUCCUUUGAAGUCCCAAGGUUCCUGCAGGCCUUACACCCUGAACUGCUUCAGAGACUGCACCCAACUGGCUGCAUUGGGUUUUCAUAUUUAAGUGACAAAUGCAGAAUCCAUUUGAGCUGAGCAACUAAAUGAAUAUUCAGUGUGUUGAAAGGUAAAAUUUAAAUGUGUAAAGUGAAUGUAUUUGCAUAAACUUGGGAGUUGUAAACACCUAUGAAAAACUUCACACUUCAGAAUUAUUCUUCUUAGAUUCCCUGUGUUGUUUUGUUGUUUUGGUUUUGUGUGUGUGUAUGUGUGUGUGUGUAUUCAUGUUUGUUCAUCAGAAACUGCAUUCCUGAUUUCUGACCCAGGCAGUCUGACUGUGCGGACAGGAGGUCAGGUCUCCGUCUCCGCACUAUGAUUCCAGGGUGGCCUCAACACAGCAGAGGUGGUCCUGGCAAGACACCACGCCAGGGUUUCAGCACACGAAGGAAAGUGAACGGCAGCCACAUCCCACGCGCAGGCAGUCCUCACCCACAGGCUGGGCUGGCGCUCUCCGAGGGCUGUGUUCCCCAGAGUCCUUGGAGGCAAGUUUCCCAUGUUCAGGGCUCUGGGCCCAGCAGGGACAUCUUGUCUGCACUGGUCAGAGAACCAACACUUCUUUGGAGCUUUUUCUUUGUGUUAAGUACAAUUGCAGGUGAGUGUUUUGCCAUUUUAGCCCAGGACACACAACUCCUGAGAGACAGCUCUUUGGCAGAACUAUGGAAAGAGGCCCAGGUGCAGGCUCUGCCUGGGGCAGGGCUGGCUUCCCAUCCUCCGGGCCCACCCUGGCCACAGUGACUCCCUGGACCGUCUUACUUCACAGAGAUCACAGGAAAAGCAGCUGCCGGUGGGCAGGAAAGACUUCAGUUCCCUGGGCAUCUGUGGCCGUGAGAACCUCAGGGACUAACGUUACAGCAGUUAGGAUGAUGUGUGUCUCCGCCAGCCCCUUUAGAUAGGAAAUGGCUAGAUACUCACGGAAUUAAUGAGCAAACAGAGGAUCCACCCUGAGAAGUCUCCAGUACAGCACUCUAUGGUCUUCAGUGUCAGAAGGGACGUCUGCAGGGCUGUCCUCACAGUGGCGCUCUCCCCAAAUCUAGUUAGGAAACUUCUGGGCGCCUAGGGAGGCUGACUUAACUGCAGGCAGCUUUCUGUGUGUGUGUGUAUGUGUGUGUGUGUGUUUAUGUAUAUGUAUGUAUGUAUAUGUAUGUAUGUAUAUGUAUGUGUAUAUACACACACAUAUAUCGUUAUUGUGUGUGCGCAGGGGCAUGCAUUCCAUAGCACCCCACAGGUCAGAGGCUGACUGUGAGCGUGGUUUCUGGAGAUGGCACUCAGCUGGUCAGGCUUGCACGCCGAGCACCUCUACCCUCUGAGGCGUCUGGCUGCCUUGACUCCUUUUCAAGUUUUGCUCCAGGCCCCACUGACACCCAAGGAAGGUGGUGCUGAACUCUACCACAGAAGAGGAGUCACAGAAGCAGGCUGCUGGGCUGUGUUGGGUUCGGCACGGAAGCUGAGAAAACUCGCUGCAGACACAGAGGCUUCAAGUGCUAGCUUUGUUUCCUGUGCACACAGGGAGGCGGCCAGGUCAGGACCUGAGCCACACCCCCAAAGGGGACAUUUUUAAAGACUAGACACAAGCGAGGGGAGCAGGUGGGCUGUUGCACUGGCCACUUUGCAUCAUGUUUUGGCCUAGGAGGAGAGCAAGGACACUAACGUGGUGACUGGGCCUUCUCUGGUCACCUGGCUUCCGGGUUCCUGAGUCAGCUGUUGGCAGUCAGGUUCCCUCCUGGACUCUGGCCGGGAAUUUCAGAUAAGGGAGCUAAGGGGUGAGCAAGCUGCACGUAGUUAAUUAAGCCAGGACAGGCGCCACAUCUACGGCUCAUGAGCCUCGUUUAGUGGGGUCACAGCAACUUCCCUUGCUACAUCUUUUACUGGUUUACAGACAUGAAGCAUCUGAAGAACGCAAGACAGGAGCUGGGUUCCGGGGCCUGGGCUCACGGGCUCAGUUUUGACCUUGCCAGCAAGAUGAAACCUGUUUCUGAGAUGGCUACGCCCAGGAAACUAACGGGCUCUCCAGGCAAAGCAGAGAGGAGCCGUGUGGGUGGAUGGGAGAGAUCACUGCCGAGAACUGGAGGGUCCUUUUCCCCAGGACCAUGCUUGAAAACUCGCAGAUCCUGUGGGUGGGAAAGUGUGCACACACUGGCAGCUGUAAUCUUACUUGGGAGUUACGGUGUCUGCCAGCAGCAGCAUCCCCGGAGCAGCUACAUCAGUACCAGAUGGAAGCUGCUGGGGGCAGAGGUUCAAAUCCUAUUUCCAGCUUUCCUUCAUCCCAAACCCCAGGAGGAGGGACUGUGGUCUGUAUUUACAAGACCUCGCCAGGAUUCCAGUCCUAAGGGACUUGGACAGACACUCAUCGCUGGCUGCAAAGCCCGGAUCUACAUCCAGUUCCCCACCUCCCUAAUGAGAGCCUGAAUGGAAAUGGCCGCCCAGCACUGACGUGAGAACCGGUCAGUGAGGCAGGGAGGCAGGGUGAAGGAAUGCUCAGCCGCCUCCUGCUCCACUGUGUCCAGGCUUUCUGCCUGAAGUCAUCUGUGAGAGCGACAGAGAGAAGAGUGUGCUCAACCUGUCAGGAGCAUUCUGGCAGCCAGAAGGCCCUGGGGUCUCGGGGUCAGGCCAGCACGCAGUCAGCCCUCCAGGAGCAGACUGGGGUGAGGAUGUGCCUGGGAGGGGGCGGCAGCAGGCGGAGGGUAGACUGGGAGUCAGCAGGGUGGGAAGCUCCAGAGCCAGGCGUGCCCAUCGGUGUCCCCCGUGGCCACCGCCAUCACCAGGCGCCAGUUCCCUAGGAGGGCUGUGGCGGGCAGGCCGGCGGCCUCCGAGAUUCUCGACAAGUUGGCGGGACUCAGGGUCAGUCUCCCUGGGGACCUGAUGGCUCCCUUCCUGCCUGCUACAGUCAGCAUGGGAAGAUGGAGGUCCCCAGAGAGGCCGCCCAGAGCUGCAGAGCCGGGGGUUAAGGGACGCCUCUGCCGUUCAGCAGCCAGACCAAGCACAAAAGACCACAUGUGGUUCUGGUGCCGUUCUUUAAAAAACAUUGAUUAUUCUUUGACAGUCUGAUACCUGUGUACACUCAUCCUGCCCAUUUUCCCCUCCCCCUCCCACCUCUGCAUGUCUUCCUGGUUUGUUUGUUUUCCUGGGACUCACUGGGUUUACCUGCAGCUGUGGGGAUGAGACCUGGCGAAGGGUCAGUUACCGGAGCAGAGCAAUUUACCCUGAAGAGAUACCACCAAUAGCUCGUCAGGGAAGGGUGGGGCGCCCAUGCCCCUGUCCAAGGCGGAGUGUUGGGAGGACUCACUGGAUCUGGAGCACCUACCUCCUGGAACUUCAGUUUCCGUUUAUCUUUUGUGCGCGGCUGUUUGCCUGUGCAGCAGUGUACAGUGGGGAGGGAGAGGGGGGAGAGGGCGCUGCGUUCCCUGGCUGUGACCUGCCAGGUGGGUGCCGGAAGUGAAUGUGGGGCUCUGCAGCAGCAGCUGGUGCCUUCACCUCUGUGCCCUCAAGCUCUGAGCCACGGCUUCGGCCGCAGAGCCAAGUUUUUAUUUCUAUCCACCUGUCCUUCUUGAGUAUGUGGGUGUGUGGUUUAUGUGGUUGUGUGUGUGUGUGGGUGUGUACUGAGGCCAGUACACCAACUUUGGAUGUCGUUCUUCAGGACUCUCCCAGCCUUCUUUGUUUAACCUUGAAACUCAUCAAGUGGCCCAGGCUGACUGCACCCGCCUCUGCUUCCCUGGCGCUGCUGUUUCAGUUAAAAACAAAACAAAAGCAAACAACAAACAAGCAUGCACCAGGCUCCAGACACCAAUCUCGGGCCCCGGGCUCACGGGUUGAAGUCCUCCGGGUUGAAGUCCAGCCUGCCCGUGAUGCUUAGCGAAGGGGCGUGAGACCCCGCGAGGGCUGGCCGCACAGGUGCGCGUGCUAAGGAAGAGCGCCGCCCGGAGACGUCCUUCCGGAGGCCCCGCGCGGUGUGCGCCCCGGCUCCCCCGACCUCCCCGGCCGCGGCCCGGCUCCCGACCACCCGGCCGCGCCUCCUGCCCCCGCUGCCGACCCCGCCCGGCAUGCGCCCGCCUCCUCCCGAGCGUCCUGGGGUCGCCGGCCUGGAAUCGUCAGCCUAGCUGGGCGCAGUCGUCAGGGAAACGCCACUUCUCCGACAUGCCGCAGAAAGACCCGUGCCAGAAGCAAGCCUGUGACAUUCAGAAGUGUUUGCAGGCCAACAACUACGUGGAGGCCAAGUGCCAGGCCGUGAUCCAGGAGCUUCGCAAGUGCUGUGCCCGCUACCCCAGGGGCACGUCUAUCGUCUGCUCGGGCUUUGAGAAAGAGGAGGAGGAGAACCUGGCACUCAAGACCGGAUCCAAGUGAAGCUGUGCUUCAUGCUCCCUCCGGCGAGCUGUUUGCCAGGUAGCAGCAAGCAGCAAAGGAAAAGCUAGCGAAUAUGCGGUCUAUGCAAAACAGACCGAAAUAGUAACCUGUGUUAGAAAAUAAAUAUGUGUAAUGGAAAA